rnacentral:rRNA from 1 species
AGUGAACGCUGGCGGUAGGCCUAACACAUGCAAGUCGAACGGCAGCACAGUAAGAGCUUGCUCUUACGGGUGGCGAGUGGCGGACGGGUGAGGAAUACAUCGGAAUCUACUUUUUCGUGGGGGAUAACGUAGGGAAACUUACGCUAAUACCGCAUACGACCUACGGGUGAAAGCAGGGGAUCUUCGGACCUUGCGCGAUUGAAUGAGCCGAUGUCGGAUUAGCUAGUUGGCGGGGUAAAGGCCCACCAAGGCGACGAUCCGUAGCUGGUCUGAGAGGAUGAUAAGCAAACCUGAAACUGAGACACGGUCCAGACUCCUACGGGGGCAGCAGUGGGGAAUAUUGGACAAUGGGCGCAAGCCUGAUCCAGCCAUACCGCGUGGGUGAAGAAGGCCUUCGGGUUGUAAAGCCCUUUUGUUGGGAAAGAAAAGCAGCAGGUUAAUACCCCGCUGUCCUGACGGUACCCAAAGAAUAAGCACCGGCUAACUUCGUG